rnacentral:lncRNA from 1 species
CACAGAUGCUGACGUUGUGGCACAUGUCGUCCAGCCUCAGUUGGAGAAACAACAUGAAAAAAAGGAUUAAAAUGCAGUAUGCCAUCAUGUGCAAUAUUUUACAUUUCAGAUCACACAGGCACAAGCUCAUAACAUGGUAACAGAGUAAUUACCAAGACCCACAGCUUGCUGUGUCCCUGAGAUGGGUAUAUGAUCACCAAGCAGGUCACUAGACAUUUUGGAGUGAAUCUCUCAGCUGUCCACAAUAAGCCAACUGAAGUAGCAGACUGAGAAGUGGAAUGAAGGAAGGUGUUCUAUUCCUGGGUAUGCAGGCUUUGCAUUUGCUCAUUAAAUUGGGACAGAUUGAAAAUGGCAGAGAGAAGACACAUUUUACGGCUAUACAAGAAACACGGAGGACGAUUGACCUUCUGAUAUUAGAUUGA